GCGCUCGCUUGAACAGAACAUAUACUAAAACUGCAACAAUACAGAGAAGAUGAGCAUUGCCCCUGCACAGGAUGACAUGAAAAUUCACGAAGUGUUCCGUAUUUUU
ensembl:snRNA U6 U6 spliceosomal RNA